UCUACUUGAGAAGCCAGUUGGCAAAGAAAGCAUGCCUCAGACUCCUCCCUUUUCUGCCAUGUUUGACAGCAGUGGUUACAACCGAAACCUCUAUCAGUCUGCAGAGGACAGCUGUGGGGGGCUGUAUUACCAUGACAACAACCUCCUCUCCGGGUCUCUGGAAGCGCUCAUCCAGCACUUGGUACCCAAUGUGGAUUAUUAUCCGGAUAGAACGUACAUAUUUACCUUCCUGUUGAGUUCUCGGUUAUUUAUGCAUCCGUAUGAGCUAAUGGCCAAAGUUUGCCACUUAUGUGUUGAGCACCAGAGACUAAGUGAUCCCAACAGUGAUAAGAAUCAGAUAAGAAAAAUUGCACCGAAAAUUCUUCAGCUCCUGACAGAAUGGACAGAAACAUUUCCUUAUGAUUUUCGGGAUGAAAGAAUGAUGAGAAACUUAAAAGAUCUGGCUCACCGAAUAGCCAGUGGCGAGGAGACAUAUCGGAAGAAUGUCCAGCAGAUGAUCCAGUGUCUGAUCCGCAAGCUGGCCGCACUCAGCCAGUAUGAGGAAGUACUGGCCAAAAUCAGUUCCACGUCAACAGAUCGACUCACAGUUCUCAAGACCAAGCCACAGUCCAUCCAAAGGGACAUCAUCACUGUCUGCAGUGACCCUUACACGUUGGCCCAGCAGCUGACUCACAUAGAGCUGGAGAGGCUCAAUUACAUUGGCCCAGAAGAAUUUGUUCAGGCCUUUGUGCAGAAGGACCCUUUGGACAAUGACAAGAGUUGCUACAGUGAACGGAAGAAAACACGGAACUUAGAAGCCUACGUGGAAUGGUUUAAUCGCCUCAGCUACUUGGUUGCUACAGAAAUCUGCAUGCCUGUAAAGAAGAAGCAUCGAGCAAGGAUGAUUGAGUAUUUCAUUGACGUGGCUCGGGAGUGUUUUAACAUUGGCAACUUCAAUUCCUUGAUGGCAAUAAUCUCUGGCAUGAACAUGAGCCCCGUCUCUCGACUGAAAAAAACUUGGGCCAAAGUGAAGACUGCCAAGUUCGAUGUUCUUGAGCAUCAAAUGGACCCUUCGAGCAAUUUCUAUAAUUAUCGAACAGCUCUUCGUGGGGCAGCGCAAAGGUCUUUAACUGCUCAUAGCAGCAGAGAGAAGAUUGUGAUACCAUUCUUCAGUCUGUUAAUCAAAGAUAUUUAUUUCCUCAAUGAGGGCUGUGCCAACCGCCUUCCCAAUGGCCAUGUCAACUUUGAGAAAUUUUGGGAACUGGCCAAACAAGUGAGUGAAUUCAUGACGUGGAAACAAGUGGAGUGUCCAUUUGAGAGGGACCGGAAGAUCUUACAGCAUCUGCUCACAGUUCCAGUCUUCAGUGAAGAUGCUCUCUACUUGGCAUCCUAUGAAAGUGAAGGACCUGAAAAUCAUAUAGAGAAAGACAGAUGGAAGUCCUUAAGAUCCAGCCUCCUGGGCAGAGUUUAACACACGGGCUGCUGAUUGCUGCUGUUGCCGCCUCCACCGCUGCAUCACGUAGAUCAUCGAGGGGCUGGCCUUUGUGUUCGGGAAUCUUGUGCUACCAAAAAAAUCAUGAAGUCCCUGCAAGCACGCUCCCUCAAGAGCAGAUGAGGACCUUGCUCCCUGCAGCUGACAGAUUGACUCAGAUUCUAUGAGACUGAAAUGUUCACUGAGGACACUUGAGAAAGAAUCCUCUAAGGGUCCCAGCUCUGCAAUGAUUCAUCUCCUGGAAUUUCCAUGUGAAUCACAGCUCUGCACCUGGAUGGAGCUUUCUUUUGUGUGUGCAGGUUCUUUACUACUAGCGCCAUCUGGGAAGCCCAAAGAAUGGGAGGCCUAUGGGCUAAACCUCACUCUCCCCAGAUAUUCUGGACUUUGGGAAGCUUUCCCCCACUUUUGGACCUCAGUGUCCUCAACUGGAAGUAAUGGAUCUGGAUUAAUUGAUGUCUGCUGUUCAUGGUCUGAGAGUUCGUGGUUUGGGAAAGCACUUCCUCCUCUUACUGGACUGAGAGGUGAGUUAGCAAGUAAAUACAGCAUCCUGCAUUUGUGCUGCCAACCCCUUCUUUCUGCCUGGCUCUUUUGUUUGUUGUAUCUGAAGAGGGAAUGGAUAAGACGAUAAUUGCUACUUGAUUGGAGACAAAGAAGUGAUAAAGGCUCAGCUCCCCCUCCAGUUCAACUCCACGCAAAGGGAUAGGGCUCUUUAUGGUAAAGAGUGAUUGCUACCCAGACCAGAAACCAAAAAAUUCCCUUUGUGCAAGUCCAGUUCUGUGAUUUCGAAGGUUCUAGAUGAAGAAAGCAAAGUUUCCAAAGACCAAAGACUACAAAAAUGCUUUGUUGUGUAGACUAUAUCUUUGCCACGGCAGCUGUUGCAGUUGUGCUUGUUUGUACAGAUAAAAUCUUAGAUAAAGUGCCUGUUCACACCUAGUCAUUUACAAAUGAGUCAAUAUUUGGCUUAAAAGACCAAAACUCAGACUCAUGAUGAUCAGAGUCCACUUCUGCAUUUUGUCAAUUUUCACAUCUUAAAAAUGAUUGGAGACCUCCUCUGAAGACUCCUGAAUUUGACAUACCUUUUACAGGAAGACCUACACGGAAAGAAACCAGCAAGGGCAUGGACCACUCGUGUGAGCGUGGAUACCUUCUCUCCUUUGGCUACAAAUGCUCCCUGAAGCCUAGUCCAGGAAGACCUGUGCAAAAGAGGAAAGAUCAAAGGAAGGAACAGGCAAACAACUCAGAAGAGAGAGAAAACUGUAGAGGGAUAUGUAAAUGACAAAGCUUUGGCAAGUGGAAGAAUUUAGGAAGAGAUGUAGCAUUAGCAGCGUUGAAGCUUUUGAAAUACUCAGACACUGAAGAUCUAAUAAGAAAACAAUGAAUCAAGGAAGUCUGCUCCCUCGGGAAACUACAAGCUAUUUAGCUAUUAAAAUCAGUAUCAGGGAAAUGGAUAGAUAUAAAGAUAACUAGGGAGGAUAUUUUUAAUUACUGAACUCCAUAAAAUAAAGUUUAUAAAAUUCUGGAAAACAGGCAUCACCAACCCUUCUCCAUCUAUUCGAAAAUUGUCAAGGCCUUUGUGCAGGGCAGAGAAACCCUGGCAGGAGGGCAUGCUUUUUCAGGCAGUUUAGACUCAGAUGGGAAAUAAGGAUAACCCACAGGGUUCCUAGAUGCCCCGACAAAAGCUCAAGAUUUGUAAAAUGCUCUUUUUCUUUCAGGGUGUUCACUUGGCUUACAGAUAAACCCAGCCAUGCUGCGAUGGUCAGGUACACAGUGGAAUAAAUGGGAUCCCUUAGCUCUGCUCUUAAACUUUAUAAGGAGGUGGGGGUGCAGUCCUAUAACCAAGGAGGUCCUGGUAAGGAAUGUGGAACUAACAAGAUACCAACAACCGGACGAGUUCAGGAAAGGUCAAAAGGAGAGUGGAAACACCAGCCUACAUUUGCUACCAACCUCCCAGAAUCCUCCUCACUGGAAUCCAUCUUGGCUGCGUGAUGCACGCGCUGCCAAGAAGGACCCUGAUGGGCCAGCCAGAAGCAAUUCAGAAACUAACCCUAUCACCAUAAAACCCAAGACUGCAAAUCACACGGCAGAGCAGUUCUAGGUUCCCUUACCUUCCUGUUCUCCACCUAGCUAUCCUUCCCAAUAAAGUCUCUUGCUUUGUCAGCA